UAUAAAUACUCUUUAAAAAUCGAAGAAUUGAUCAGUUGCGAUUCGUUGUAUAACCCGCAUAACCGAUUUUACUUCCCAAUAAGAACGAAAAUAUUGACAAAAUGAAGUUCGUUAUCUUUGCUAUUUUCGUUAUAAUUGCUAUGACUAUGGUUACUUCUGGAGAAGGAUGUACUAAAUGGAUGGGGACCUGUUCCACCCAUGAUGAUUGCUGUGAACGUUUGGGUUGUAAUUUCUUAGGAUUAUGUGGAGUUGAUAUGACUGGAAAACGCUGGCCCUAACUGGGAGAAGAUAGAUAACAGAUUUCUUUAUUCUGGAUCAUAUCCAUCAAAUAUGACAGAAUGAUGAUACUUGAAUAAUAAUAUCGCUUAAUAUUCUUUCUUAUGUUUAACUAUGGUGCUAUUUCUAUUUAUGUUCAUAAAACAGAAAAGGGAAUUUCUCUGUUAUAACUUUAAAUAAAUACAUUCAAGAACUAUCAA